rnacentral:ncRNA from 1 species
ACCUAUGUGUUCCUCCAUGUGCUGCGUUUUGGCGGAUACUCCUGUGAGCGUGGCACCGAUAGGGGACUUCGGAAACGAAGUCCCCUUCCGCGUGUCAUGAUGGGAAAAUGUCAGAGCUC